CAGGAACCGAAGAAAUGAAGGACUGGAAAACAUGCACUUCACUAUGACAAGUUCAAUUUACAGCCAACUCAGCAAUGUAACAAAUCUAUGUCAUACUUAAUGAGAAUCUAUGUAACCGGUGACGGAUCAGCUUAAGAUUGCUAUGUGCUACCAGCACAGGGAAACCUGAGCUUGACUCAGGUCCUCCUCAUGAAAAACACUAGGAUGAACUGAAGCAUUAUAAUUAAGAUCAGACUUUUGUCAAAGCUGCUCCAAUCUGUCAAGGAUUAUGUGAAUUUUGUGCGUGCGUGCAUGUAUGUUUUAACUUGCCUGAUUUUUGACACUUUGAGGAUCUUUGAGCGUGGCAGCAAUCAGGAAGCAGGACCCUGGGCUGCAGCAGGACCAAGAUGCAACCUUGGAACAAACGCAAUCUUUGCUGAGCGUGCUCUUCCCGGGUUGGAAGCUAUGGGCUUGGCCGUGCCUGAGAACCUGAGCAGACCCCAGACGAGCAUGCUAAAGGGCUCCUCACGAUCCUCAGUUUGCUGUCUGCAGAAGGGCUCGCCCCGGGCUGUGUUGGGGUACUUAAUUCACUUUUCGUCUUGUGCGUGAAAACGGCUCCAAGAGAUUCUCCUCCUGCGGCAAGAGAUCUGGAAAGGUCUGAAAGUUUUCAGAGACUCAGCAGUGAAGGUCAUAAGAGGGACUGGAGUUUUGGCCCAUGCAUCUGCUCACUGAAACUCGGUCAUCUCAUAUCGAGGACAACAAACCAGCACCAGUCUGCAAGAGCACGGCAACGCAGAACCCAGAAAGAUCGUUUUUUAUUAUAUGAGCAGAAGCUUUUGGCUGCUCGGGAGUUCUCCUCUCUGUUGCAUGUGAAACUGCUGCAAAGGGAAUUAAUCACUGAGACAGCGUGA
rnacentral:lncRNA from 1 species